AUUGAACGCUGGCGGCAGGCCUAACACAUGCAAGUCGAGCGAGCGGCGGACGGGUGAGUAAUGUAUGGGGACUGCCCGAUAGAGGGGGAUAACUACUGGAAAAGGUAGCCAAUACCGCAUACUAUCGGAUAACCCAUAUGGGGUUGGCUAGUAGGUGAGGUAAUGGCGCACCUAGGCGACGCUCCCUAGCUGGUCUGAGAGGACGAUCAGGCGCACUGUGACUAGUGCACGGCCCAGACUCCCACGGGGGCAGCAGUGGGGAAUAUGGGACAAUGUGCGCAAGCCUGAUGCAGCCGUGCCGCGUGUAUGAAGAGGGCCCUGGAGGUGUAAGGUACGUACAGUCGGGAGGCGUUACCGGCAGAAGAAGCACCGGCUAACUCCGUGCCAGCAGCCGCGGUAAUAC
rnacentral:rRNA from 1 species